GUAGUCAUAUGCUUGUCUCAAAGAUUAAGCCAUGCAUGUCUAAGUAUAAGCAAUCUAUACAGUGAAACUGCGAAUGGCUCAUUAAAUCAGUUAUCGUUUAUUUGAUAGUACCUUACUACUUGGAUAACCGUGGUAAUUCUAGAGCUAAUACAUGCUAAAAACCCCGACUUCGGAAGGGGUGUAUUUAUUAGAUAAAAAACCAAUGCUCUUCGGGGCUCCUUGGUGAUUCAUAAUAACUUAACGAAUCGCAUGGCCUUGUGCCGGCGAUGGUUCAUUCAAAUUUCUGCCCUAUCAACUUUCGAUGGUAGGAUAGUGGCCUACCAUGGUUUCAACGGGUAACGGGGAAU
rnacentral:rRNA from 2 species